rnacentral:rRNA from 1 species
UACGUAGGGGGCUAGCGUUGCUCGGAAUCACUGGGCGUAAAGGGUGCGUAGGCGGGUCUUUAAGUCAGGGGUGAAAUCCUGGAGCUCAACUCCAGAACUGCCUUUGAUACUGAAGAUCUUGAGUUCGGGAGAGGUGAGUGGAACUGCGAGUGUAGAGGUGAAAUUCGUAGAUAUUCGCAAGAACACCAGUGGCGAAGGCGGCUCACUGGCCCGAUACUGACGCUGAGGCACGAAAGCGUGGGAGCAAACAGG